rnacentral:rRNA from 1 species
GAUGAACGCUAGCGGCAGGCCUAAUACAUGCAAGUCGAGGGGUAGUGGUUGCUUGCAGCCAUGAGACCGGCGCACGGGUGCGUAACGCGUAUGCAACCUACCUUCAUCUGGGGGAUAGCCCGGAGAAAUCCGGAUUAAUACCGCAUAAAAUCACAGUACGGCAUCGUACAAUGAUCAAACAUUUAUGGGAUGGAGAUGGGCAUGCGUGUCAUUAGUUAGUUGGCGGGGUAACGGCCCACCAAGACCGCGAUGACUAGGGGAUCUGAGAGGAUGACGCCCCACACUGGUACUGAUACACGGACCAGACUCCUACGGGAGGCAGCAGUAAGGAAUAUUGGUCAAUGGGCGCAAGCCUGAACCAGCCAUGCCGCGUGCAGGAAGACGGCCCUCUGGGUUGUAAACUGCUUUUAUUCGGGAAUAAACCUGCUUACGUGUAAGUAGCUGAAUGUACCGAAGGAAUAAGGAUCGGCUAACUCCGUGCCAGCAGCCGCGGUAAAAC